ensembl:lncRNA
GGACCAGAGGGGGCGCGCUCCUUUUGAAACAUGCGGAAGGGGCGUGUGGGCUGGAGGUCGCUGUCCCUUCUGCGAAUCGGUCGAGCAACGCUGGAGUGGGCAGCUGGGUCAACGGAGACCUAAAUAUGGGGUUAGGUCGGGAGCGGUCACAGCUUCAUUCAUUGGGCAGCUACCAGGGCUUGCCAUGCGCUGUGAGGCACUGUGUCGAAGCCCCUCCUUGCCUCCCCAGAGCUUUGCUCUGUCCGCUCCACACCAACCUCCAAGCGUAAAUAAAGUUCCCUCCCUUUGGCUCAGCCUUUUAAGGAGCCUUUGUGACCGCGGAGGGUGGUUUGCUCUGACACUAACCAAACUUCACCUUCUGGAGGGCCACUUGCCCAGGUCCCGUUUGUGGCCAUGGUAUGGAUCUUAGCAACGUGUUCACACGAUCAUGUUUUUAUAAACUUAGCAAAACUGGCGGUAUCAGUAUUUUAAUCCACAUCUGUUAAGACAACUGCCUCUUUCCACUGGGACUUUCCGGUCUGGGAGCAUUGAAGUAGCCAGGGGCAUCUUGGGGAGUUUUUAGGUCGGUCUUCUCUUGACUAGGGCUUGAUUGUGUCUACUUGGGCUGCCUUUGGGUUCUGGGUUGUACAGAGUCCCGAUGAGAGACUCAGUAAAGAUAAAAGGGAAACAGUUGCCUUUCUAAAGUGCCUCCAAAUCUCGGAUGGUGGCAGCCUCCUCCCUCCACCCCUCCCAUCAACGAAAGAAGGACAGCGUGUGGUGAAAGAGAACCAUCAGAAGAACUGCAGCCAUGGGUCCUCUCUCUGUGUCAGGCAAGGCUUUACUGUGAACCACUAAUGUGCCAGGUACCAUGUGUGGAGGCACUGGCCCAAAGAUGAAGAUGAGGUUUCUCUCCUUGAGAAGCGGAGUGUGGGAGACAGACAGGGGACACAGAUCUGAUCCCUGGUCCAGGGAGAUUCCACAUUCCAUGAAUCAUCUAUACCCCUGCACCACAACUACUGAGCCCGCUGUCUGGAGUCCUCAAGCCACAAC